AAGAGGUGGGUCUACAACAGACCAGCUUUGGAAAGUCUGUUUAAUAAUAUGUUCCUUUAAAUAUUUUGUAUCAAAUUCCCCCAUCAUAAUGACCAACCCUCCUGCCCACUGGCACAGAGAAGAGAGAUACACGUCAAGACACAGCAGUGGUCAAGGAACGACUCGGAGUGAACAGUAGCAUGCUGCUUGUGUAUCUCUUAAUUUGACAUAAGGCCUUGUGCCAAGCCUCUCCCUGUCUGACUCACUCACCCCGUACCUCUCGAUCACUUUCCAUAUUUCUGAAUAUAAAUAGAUGAUAGGAAUAAAAUAAAUUACCCCCCCCCCUCUCUCCAGUUAACUAUUUCUAUCCCUCCUCAUUCUGUCCUGCUGGAAUGUUGUGGCGCUAUAAUUAAAGUGGCUCUCACUGCUGCCGGUGAGUCACAUGCCAGGGCCAAAAAGGAAACAGGACAACUGGGAUAAUAGAUCAGUCACCAGCCUGAUGCCAAGGUCACACACUGAGGGCUGUUUGGAACAUGAACAGAACAAAACUGAUGUCCAUUUCCCAUUGAAAAUUAAUCAGUAAGGGAUACUGAGAUAUCAUGUCUUCAGUAAGAGCAUGAUCUAAGCACACUCUUAGAAUAUUACAGUAAGGCAUUCGACAGAAUUAAACCAAUUAAUUGUUUAUGAUUGUUAUGACAAUGAGGACUAGGGAAAGGUCAACUUGAAAACAGAUCAGAGUCAUAAGGGUUUUGACUUUGGAACAGGAUUGUCAGUCUGGUAACUGAUCAGGACAGAGUCUUACGACUGACGUGAUGGAUGGCCGAGGCGAGAUUAUUUGAGAGGAACAAAGCUCAACAGGCAUUAAAAUGGCAUGCUGUUUCUUAGUAGUUCUAGGUUACAAACAAAAAUAGAAAUUAUUAUGUCCUCAACUGACCAUCACACUAAGGUCGGUUUAUUAUCUGAAGUAAACACUUGUCAUUUAUACCAUGGCAAAACCUGGAAUGUGCAUAGGCCUAUUAAAUAUGAAUGCCCACUGUGUGUCUUCACAGUAACUGGCGGCCUGGCGCUAUGACACAGAAAUGUGACACCCUGCCCUUAAAACAUGUAUUGCUACAUAUGCUGUUAUGUUCAUAGGGUGUUGAUUUGGUAGACUACAACAUGGACAGUGACUAAACAUAAACUCAGAAAAUAAAGAAACGUCCUCUCACUG